rnacentral:rRNA from 1 species
AUUGAACGCUGGCGGCAUGCUUUACACAUGCAAGUCGAACGGCAGCGCGGGCUUCGGCCUGGCGGCGAGUGGCGAACGGGUGAGUAAUGCAUUGGAACGUGCCCAGUAGUGGGGGAUAGCCCGGCGAAAGCCGGAUUAAUACCGCAUACGACCUGAGGGUGAAAGCGGGGGACCGAAAGGCCUCGCGCUAUUGGAGCGGCCGAUGUCGGAUUAGCUAGUUGGUGGGGUAAAGGCUUACCAAGGCGACGAUCCGUAGCUGGUCUGAGAGGACGACCAGCCACACUGGGACUGAGACACGGCCCAGACUCCUACGGGAGGCAGCAGUGGGGAAUUUUGGACAAUGGGGGGAACCCUGAUCCAGCCAUGCCGCGUGCGGGAAGAAGGCCUUCGGGUUGUAAACCGCUUUUGUUCGGGAAGAAAUCCUCUGGGCUAAUACCCCGGGGGGAUGACGGUACCGGAAGAAUAAGCACCGGCUAACUACGUG